ACCACACUGAAACAAGUCGACAUAUAUUCUUUAUUAAAUUUGUCCAAUGAAUUUAUCGUACCAAAAGAUCUCUUAAUUAUAACUGAUUCCAUUAGAAAUUAGAUACAAUAAUUUUAACGAGUCGCACAAUGAAAUAAUAAUUAUCGGAUUUUCAUAUGCAUUUUAUUUGACAUUCAUUUACGUCCAACAUGUGUGGUAAAAAGUUAAAUUUACAGGCAAUAUUGCGCAAUACAUUUCAUAGAGUAGAUAUAUAAAACCGUCAUGUAUCGCAACCAACAUAUAAAUCUUAUUGAUAAAUCCAAUAGAAAACACACGUUGCCGUGACUUUGGACUCAGUUUACCUGUGAACUUUUGUUCUGACGUUUGGAUUUGGUGUCGAAUCAUCCAGAUUAAAAAUGGCUACACCACGACGACGUCUCAUUGUGCGAAUGGAAGGAUAUCUCCUAAUCUCCAAUAGAUCACACCGAAGAAAUUGGCACUUAUCAAAUUGUAUCAUCAGGCAAACAACGAACAGACCAUUGGAACUCGGAUCAAGUGGCCAUCAUUGAAGCGGUAAUUUCCUUUUUAAUCAUCAUUUGUCAGGAAGUCGGUAGUGAAAUCUCUCGAAAGUUGUGACCGCCACCGACCGACGUAGUUCAUUUUUGCUUUUGCUAGGAUUGCUUUAUUCCGAAGAGAGAUAUACUGCCCAUAAUCGCAUAUUUGUAACAUUUGCAAAAUUGGUUGUUCGAGCAAUUCGCACUUUUAUAUUUUGACCUUAAAUGCAUUGUUACUAAUAUAUUCUCGCAAAUAGACACUUUAACUAAACUUAGUAUCAUGAAGAAAGCACUACUUUACACUAUGUAUACAUUGAAUAUUACUUUUGAAGUCAAAUUGGUUGAAAUUUUUGCAAUGAUACAUUUAUGCCGUCACUUUCAAGCUACUUUUGGAAUAUAUCACAUGGAAAAAGAAGUUUUUCAUGUAUUCAACAAGCAUGAGCUGAACAUCAGAAACGGAUCACCGGUGGUUGGUUACCGGACCAGAAUAACUUCCGAGUUCCAAAGGAUGCAGAUGUGGAUUUGGAUGGAAACUUUUUCGACAAAAAAGUUGAAAAAGUUAAGCAGUGUGACAAUUAUGCGGUUAUUUACGCUAUGUGACAAAACAACUUGGUAUUUUUUACGACUUUUUUCACACAAACAUAAGCAUAUUUUUCCAGAUGCAAAAAGUACAUACUAUUCUAAGCAUUUCCCAAUAAAAAGCACGAAAUCCAUAAAAUGUCGAAUGUUACAAUUAUGCGAUCACAGGCAGUAUACAGGUAACCAAUUUCUUAAAAUAAAUAUUAUUUUUAAAAUAAAUUCUUGUAUUUUUCAUAAACAAA